AUCCAGCUGACGAGUUCCAAAUAGGAUAAAACGUGUGUCAAACUGGAU
rfam:Schistosoma haematobium scaffold806_26, whole genome shotgun sequence.